UUAGAACUAAGAACCCUGUCACGAAACACUCUCAUUAUUUCAUACUCAAUCCCUCUAGGACGUUGAGAGCUACGACCCAAUCCUGAACCCUGUCCUAUCCUAGACGACAACAGAAUCAUUACUGAGCUUGAGACUCUUAAGGAAGAGGCUGCAGAAGUUCAGAGGAAGAUGGAGGAGACUGAUACUGUAAUGGCUGAAGCUGACAGAGUCUCCCAGCAAUACCUGCCUCUCUCCACCUCCUGCUCUGCCAUGUACUUCACUCUGGAGUCACUCAAUCAGACUGGUAGUCUCCAGAUGAAGAUUGUUGCUGAAGAUAAACUAGUUGAAGAGAGGACGGCUGAGCUCUUUCAGGAAUGGGAGAGAAA